rnacentral:lncRNA from 1 species
UUUAUCAUCUUUUGUAUAUGAUGGUAAAUGAUGUAAAGAAAAGAAUGUAAUGUGUAUUUUGGGGUAAAUGUGUGUAAGAAAGAAAUGACGAAAUGAAAUGUAAGGAAUUCGAAAAUGAACAAGAUGAAUGCAAUGUAUAUGAUAAAAAAUGAAUCAUAGUACAAGUGAAUGUUUAGUUUUCUUUUUCUUUCACUAAUGGCUAUUGCUUACCCUCGUGUAAGCCGUUUGUGUAUGUUUCCGCUAGUGCUU